rnacentral:rRNA from 1 species
UACGUAGGGUGCAAGCGUUAAUCGGAAUUACUGGGCGUAAAGCGUGCGCAGGCGGUUGUGCAAGACAGAUGUGAAAUCCCCGGGCUCAACCUGGGAAUUGCAUUUGUGACUGCACGGCUAGAGUGUGUCAGAGGGGGGGUAGAAUUCCACGUGUAGCAGUGAAAUGCGUAGAGAUGUGGAGGAAUACCGAUGGCGAAGGCAGCCCCCUGGGAUAACACUGACGCUCAUGCACGAAAAGCGUGGGGAGCAAACAGG